rnacentral:pre_miRNA from 1 species
AGUGUGAUAGCUGGGUCAAAUGGUGGUUCCGUUCCAAGUGUUCCAAGGAAUCUCCAUAAUGCUUUCCAGAUUGGCUGUACCAAUUUGCAGUCUCACCAGCAAU